rnacentral:rRNA from 1 species
GACGUAGGGCGCAAGCGUUGUCCGGAUUUAUUGGGCGUAAAGAGCUCGUAGGCGGCCUGUCGCGUCGACCGUGAAAACCCGCAGCUCAACUGCGGGCUUGCGGUCGAUACGGGCAGGCUGGAGUUCGGUAGGGGAGACUGGAAUUCCUGGUGUAGCGGUGAAAUGCGCAGAUAUCAGGAGGAACACCGGUGGCGAAGGCGGGACUCUGGGCCGAUACUGACGCUGAGGAGCGAAAGCGUGGGGAGCAAACAGG